GAGUUAUUUUACGACAGUGUUUCUGUCGGGAAAGGAAGAGGAAUCCUCGCUUGAAAAACUGUAAAGAUUGACGCAUUCGCCAAUUCUACUAGUCAUCACGGUCAAAUUUCAAGCUCGUGCCUCAUCAACAAUGGAUGACGAAUACUCAUAUUAUGACAGCGAAGAUGAAGAAGAAGAAGAAAAAAAGGAAGAAG